CCCAGACUCCUACGGGAGGCAGCAGUGGGGGAUAUUGCACAAUGGGGGGAACCCUGAUGCAGCGACGCCGCGUGGGUGAAGGAGCGUUUCGGCGCGUAAAGCCCUCUCGGCAGGGAAGAAGGAGGACGGUACCUGACUAAGAAGCCCCGGCUAACUACGGGCCAGCAGCCGCGGUAAUACGUAGGGGGCAAGCGUUAUCCGGAUUUACUGGGUGUAAAGGGGGCGCAGACGGCAGCGCAAGCCAGGAGUGAAAGCCCGGGGCCCAACCCCGGGACUGCUCUUGGAACUGCGCGGCUGGAGUGCAGGAGGGGCAGGCGGAAUUCCUGGUGUAGCGGUGAAAUGCGUAGAUAUCAGGAGGAACACCGGUGGCGAAGGCGGCCUGCUGGACUGCGACUGACGUUGAGGCCCGAAAGCGUGGGGAGCAAACAGGAUUAGAUACCCGCGUA
rnacentral:rRNA from 1 species